rnacentral:rRNA from 1 species
AGCGAACGCUGGCGGCGUACCUAACACAUGCAAGUCGAACGGGGGUCAUCGGGUUAGCAAUAGUUCGGUGGUCCUAGUGGCGCACGGGUGAGUAACACGUGGGCAACCUGCCCUAGAGAUCGGGAUACCCCCUCGAAAGGGGGGCUAAUACCGGAUACGUUCCCCGGUCGAAAGGACCGUCGAGGAGGAAAGGGUAGGCGCAAGCUGCCGCUCUUGGUAGGGGCGUCGCGGCCUAUCAGCUAGUUGGUGGGGUAACGGGCCCGACCAAGGCUAUGACGGGUAGCUGGUCUGAGA